rnacentral:rRNA from 1 species
GUUUUCAUUAAUCAAGAACGAAAGUUAGGGGAUCGAAGACGAUCAGAUACCGUCGUAGUCUUAACCAUAAACGAUGCCGACCAGCGAUUAGGAGACGUUGAAUACAAAACACCUCUAUAUAUAAUUCAGUAUAUGAUCAGUCAAAUGGUUGUAUAUUGUUUGUGUAUAGUCACGGUGAAUGACUCCCCUAGCAGCUUGUGAGAA